GACGAACGCUGGCGGCGUGCUUAACACAUGCAAGUCGAACGGAAAGGCCCUGCUUUUGUGGGGUUCUCGAGUGGCGAACGGGUGAGUAACACGUGAGUAACCUGCCCUUGACUUUGGGAUAACUUCAGGAAACUGGGGCUAAUACCGUAUAGGAGCUCCUGCUGCAUGGUGGGGGUUGGAAAGUUUCGGCGGUUGGGGAUGGACUCGCGGCUUAUCAGCUUGUUGGUGGGGUAGUGGCUUACCAAGGCUUUGACGGGUAGCCGGCCUGAGAGGGUGACCGGGCACAAUGGGACUGAGAGAGGGAGCAGAGGCCUACGGGAGGCAGCAGGGGGAAACAUUGCACAAUGGGCGGAAGCCUGAGGCAGCGACGCCGCGUGCGGGAUGACGGCCUGCUGGGUGUAAAACGCAUUCGCCUGUGACGAAGCGGGAGUGACGGUAAUGGGUAAAGAAGCACCGGCUAACUACGUG
rnacentral:rRNA from 1 species